GAGGCAGGUAAGGAUGAUUGAUGAUUCAUGACAAUGGAAGAUGGGAAUUCAAAUGAUAUACUAAAGGUAAAAUCAUAGGUAAAAACAAGAAAAGCGAAAAGACCAAGAAAAAUUGAGAAAGGAACAGACGAUGGAUAGCUUAGCUAGCUUGUUUCAAGCACAAGAUCAUUUCAUGGGACAACCCAUUUGUCCAAUAAAGCAAGAAAUAGCCCUGUGGGGGUGUUUGUGGUUGCCUUGGUACUUGUUUUUCUUUCCUUUCCUUUCCCUAUUGCUCUG
rnacentral:misc_RNA from 1 species